rnacentral:rRNA from 1 species
UACAGGGGGGGCAAGCGUUGUUCGGAAUUACUGGGCGUAAAGGGCCAGUAGGCGGCCGACUAAGUCCGACGUGAAAUCCCCAGGCUUAACCUGGGAACUGCGUCGGAUACUGGCUGGCUUGAAUUCGGGAGAGGGAUGCAGAAUUCCAGGUGUAGCGGUGAAAUGCGUAGAUAUCUGGAGGAAUACCGGUGGCGAAGGCGGCAUCCUGGACCGACAUUGACGCUGAACGGCGAAAGCUAGGGGAGCAAACGGG